AUUGAACGCUGGCGGCAGGCCUAACACAUGCAAGUCGAGCGGGUGAAGGGAGCUUGCUCCUGGAUUCAGCGGCGGACGGGUGAGUAAUGCCUAGGAAUCUGCCUGGUAGUGGGGGAUAACGUCCGGAAACGGGCGCUAAUACCGCAUACGGCCUGAGGGAGAAAGUGGGGGAUCUUCGGACCUCACGCUAUCAGAUGAGCCUAGGUCGGAUUAGCUAGUUGGUGGGGUAAAGGCCUACCAAGGCGACGAUCCGUAACUGGUCUGAGAGGAUGAUCAGUCACACUGGAACUGAGACACGGUCCAGACUCCUACGGGAGGCAGCAGUGGGGAAUAUUGGACAAUGGGCGAAAGCCUGAUCCAGCCAUGCCGCGUGUGUGAAGAAGGUCUUCGGAUUGUAAAGCACUUUAAGUUGGGAGGAAGGGCAGUAAGUUAAUACCUUGCUGUUUUGACGUUACCAACAGAAUAAGCACCGGCUAACUUCGUG
rnacentral:rRNA from 1 species